GUCCUGCGCCCCCCCCCGGGCAGAGCCGAGUCUCUGAGGGAGAGAAGGAAGGAGCGGCGGCGGCGGCGGCCGAGGGGAGGCAGCCAUGAGGGUCGCGGUGGACUUCGAGGAGUGCCUCAAGGACUCGCCCCGCUUCAGGGCUGCUUUGGAAGAUGUGGAAGGAGAUGUGACAGAGCUAGAGCAGAAGCUGGACAAGUUAGUGAAGCUUUGCAUUGCGAUGAUUGACACGGGGAAGGCCUUCUGCCUGGCAAACAAGCAGUUCAUCCAUGGCAUUCAGGACCUGGCUCAGUAUUCCAGCAAGGAUGCCCUCGUGGAGACCAGCUUGACGAAGUUCUCCGACAGCCUCCAAGAGAUGAUCAAUUACCACACUAUCCUGUUUGACCAAACACAAAGAUCAAUUAAAGCGCAGCUUCAGACGUUCGUUAAAGAAGAUAUCCGAAAGUUCAAAGAUGCCAAGAAGCAGUUUGAGAAAGUCAGCGAAGAGAAGGAGAAUGCCCUGGCCAAGAACGCCCAGGUCCCACGGACCAAGCAGCACGAAGUGGAAGAGGCCACCAACAUCCUGACGGCCACCAGGAAAUGCUUCCGCCACAUCGCUCUCGACUACGUCCUGCAGAUUAACGUUCUUCAGUCAAAGAGGAGAUCAGAGAUCCUAAAAUCGAUGCUGUCCUUCAUGUAUGCCCACCUGGCCUUUUUCCAUCAAGGCUACGACCUUUUCAGUGAACUUGGACCCUACAUGAAAGACCUUGGAGCUCAGCUUGAGAGGCUGGCUGUAGAUGCUGUGAGGGAGAAGAAGGAGAUGGAGCACAAACACUCCACCAUUCAGCAAAAGGACUUUGCCAGCGAUGACCCUCUGCUAGAGUACAAUGUGGAUGCCGCCAGUGGCGUCGUCAUGGAAGGCUACCUCUUCAAGCGAGCCAGCAACGCCUUCAAGACCUGGAACAGGCGCUGGUUCUCCAUCCAGAACAAUCAGCUGGUCUACCAGAAGAAAUUUAAGGAUAACCCCACGGUGGUGGUGGAAGACCUUCGGCUCUGCACAGUCAAGCACUGCGAAGAUAUUGAGAGGCGCUUCUGCUUUGAGGUCGUCUCCCCCACCAAGAGCUGCAUCCUUCAGGCAGACUCAGAGAAGCUGCGGCAAGCGUGGAUUAAGGCGGUACAAGCCAGCAUUGCCACAGCCUACAGGGAGAAAGGGGACAGCCCAGAGGUGGAGGGGAAGCCGUCCCCUUCCAGGGGGAGCCCGGAAACGGGCGCGGAACCCAAAGAGAAGCUGCUGAAAGGAGAGAGCUCUCUCCAGAGGGUGCAGAGCAUUCCCGGCAACGCUGUCUGCUGCGACUGUGGCCUGGCAGACCCCCGGUGGGCCAGCAUCAACCUGGGCAUCACGCUGUGCAUCGAGUGCUCUGGCAUCCACAGGAGCCUGGGUGUCCAUUUCUCCAAAGUCCGCUCCUUGACGCUUGACUCCUGGGAGCCAGAGCUGCUCAAGCUGAUGUGCGAAUUGGGAAAUGAGGUCAUCAACAGGGUAUAUGAAGCAAACCUGGAGAAGACGGGCGUCAAGAAGCCUCAGCCUGGAAGCCAGAGGCAGGAGAGGGAGGAGUACAUCCGCGCCAAGUACGUGGAGAAGAGGUUUGUGGAGAGGUGUCCUGCUGCCUCCGGAGGGAAACCUCGCCCUCGGAGCCAGGGGCCUCAAAGGCACAGCGGCAGCCCGGAGGGGAGAGCCGAGGAAGAGGAGGGCCCCCCAACAGCCAAGGAGCAAAUGGCGGCAGCUCUGAGAGGGGUUGGUGUCAGUAGCGACGAGGUGAGGCGGGAAUCCCUGUUCUGCCCCGAUGAACUAGAUUCACUCUUCUCCUACUUUGAUACUGCCUCAAAGCUGCGGAGUAUGCGCAGCAACGACAGCGGCUUCCAGCACAGCAGGGAGCAGCUGGCCUCUGCCGUCUCAGCCAGCACCUUGUAUGAGCCAGAGGCUGAAAGGCCUGAGGCUGCUGCUUCCGCUUCCCGAGACGCCCGGCCAGAUGUUCCGGGGCUGCAGCUGUACUUGGCCUCCUUCCAGAAGAGCCUUCCUGGCAUGGCUGAGGCGCUGGCGCACGGGGCGGACGUCAACUGGGUCAAUGCAGCAGAGGGCAGGUCCACGCCGCUGAUCCAGGCCGUCCUGGGGGGCUCCUUGGUCACUUGUGAAUUCCUGCUCCAGAACGGGGCCAACGUGAACCUCCAGGACUCCAAGGGCAGGGGCCCCCUCCACCAUGCCACUGUCUUGGGGCACACCGGGCAGGUGUGUUUGUUCCUGAAACGGGGCGCCAACCAACAUGCCAAGGACGAGGAAGGGAAGGACCCCCUGAGUGUGGCCAUUGAAGCUGCCAACGCGGAUAUAGUGACGCUGCUGCGCUUAGCCAGGAUGAACGAGGAGAUGCGGGAAUCCGAGGGACUCUACGGCCAGCCAGGUCAACCUUCCAGUAACCCCACUGAGAUGCAAUACCGGAAGUGCAUCCAGGAGUUCAUUAGCCUGCAGCUGGACGAGGCCUGAGCGGAGCCCUUGCUGGUCUGGUGGGAGGGGCUGCCCCCCCCCCGGCACUCUGCUGCCCCCAGGGCAGAGCCGGGAAUGGCCCCUGCCUCUCUCCCCAGGAGAGACCCUGAGUGGGAAGCCGCCUCCUGCUCCAGCAGCCGCUUCUCGCUUCCCUCCCCCAUGGGGCGCCAGGGCCAACAAAGCCCCUUUUGGCACAGCCCCCUCCAGAGAAAUGCGGGGGGGGGACGGUUUGGCCACACUGCAAAGCCAGCUUUCCCCUCUUCAUGAUCGCACCGGAGAGUUGAGGGGUGGGCUGUGAAAGCCCCCUCCAGCAAGUAUAUUUCAUGGAGGGGGCGGCGGCAUUGGCUACUGUAUGUGCUCUUCAGAGAAUUGGGGGAGGGGGGAGAGAUGGCAGCAGCCUGGGCAGGAUCAGGCCCGUUGCCAGGAGGAAUCAGCUCAGAGCGUUCCAGGAGCCUGGGCCAAGAAAAGUCAAAUUCCGUCCCUGCCUAAUUCUGCCUCCAAGUCCGCCUGCCUCUGCCUCCCUUGUGCUGCUUUUGCUGGCUGGGGUGGGGGGAGCCCCUGCCCCUCUCCCAGCAUCCCUCGAGCUUGGGACCUUUUCCCAGGGGCUGCCGGGAGCCUUUUGCCCUGGGCAUUGGGGUCGCCCCGUGGGCAAGGAGCUGACAGCCAAAAGCAAGGGAGGGCUGCAGUUGCUCAGGGAGCUCAGAGCCGCCCUUCCAGGGCCUGGCAGGAGCAGGGGAAGCUGGGUUUCCCUUCGCUCUUGCAAAGGUAGCCCAGGAGGGCAGAAAUGGAGUUCCCCACCAGAGGCCCCCUUCUCUCGGUGGCCACUGUCACUGCAAGAGCACAGGGCUGGGCUUGGGAGUCCAGGGUCCCUGCCCAGAAACACAGCUGGAGGCCAGCCUGGCCAUCCAAGCCUCCUGCCCUGGCUGAGUCCGGGCUCUGCCCUCCUCCCUGAAGAGGGGGCUCUGGCAGCUGUCCUCCUCCUCCCCUCCCUGGGGGCUCCUUCCUGGCCUGGCAAGGGCUGGUGCCCCCCGUCUUCCUCUCCCCUCCUGGCCAAGCCUCGCUGGCAGAUCCACAGUCCCUGGGAGCAGGGGCCCUGGGGGGGCACAGAGGGUGCCCUCCCAGGUGUGGGAUAGCCGCUUUGGUGCACGAAGCGACGCGCACACACUGCAGCUGGGGGCGGAGCGAGCCGCCAAUAGCGGACAUUCGGCGCACCGCCUGCCAAUGACUGCCAAAUGUCACCCCCCUUAGCGAAGACACCUGGGGGGUCCGCCCCACUGCACCCCCCCUCCUCCUCCCCUGGGAGCCUCCUGCACCCGCUUCUCUCCCCGGUUGGUGCCUUUUCAGUUGGGUUUGGGGAGUCAGGGCUGGAGAGCAGCGUGUCAUUUUGCACUAUUAAUGCACACAGGUCCUUUGAAUGUGUCUGGCUACUGAUCCUCGAAUGCAGCACAGUGUGAAAUUCAAGGGCACUUUAUGUUUCCUCUGUGUUCAUAUGAGAGUUUCUGUUUCUCGAGUGGCCAAAACUUGAACCCAAAGAGAAUGUCCCCCGAAACAGCUUCUGCUGGGCAGCUGAGCUUUACCCAUCCAGGAGCAGCAGCACCCUGUCUGUCUCAGAGCCUUGAAUGUUACCAAAGAGCACCCAGAGGUGCCUUUGGUGGGGCAAGUCUUGCCAAUGAGGCCUGGGCCCCUGGGAGGUCUUUUCCCAGGCCCACCUCGGUCCACGUAGCACAAAUGCCCACAGCAGCUCCUGUUUUCCUUGGGGGAGACUGGCAAAGGGGGUGCCCAGUCCCCAGAGAAGCCGGCCCCCCUGGCUUGUGCCCCCCCCCCCGACUCUCCUGGGGCCGACGUGAAUGUACUGCCAGCCUGCUCUGGCCCCAGUGGCAGUCAAGGCAAUUUCAGGGCAGGCCAGGAAGUAGAAAGGGCUGCCCCCCCCCCAAAGCCAGGCGGCCAGAAGAGACUGCUCCACCCCGCGCACAAGAAUCCCAGGUCUUCCCUGGCUCCACUCCCGGUUCCCUUGCUCAGCGCUUGGGGUCAAUUUUGGGGUGCUCCUCUUGCCUGGGUUUGUGGGAAGCUGCUUUUUUCUCCCUUCCUCCCUUCCUUCCUCCCUCCCUCCCUCCCUUCCUCCCAGCAUCUUUUGUUUCUCUAACGUUGAGCUUCCUCUCUCUGGCUGCCUUUGAGGUUCUCUCCUCAGGAGACGAAACCUACCAGGACAUCUUUCGAGACUUCUCACAAAUGGCGUCCAAUAACCCGGAGAAGCUAAACCGCUUUCAGCCCUCAGAUGUGCAGAAGCCCUGA